AUCGCCGCUUUGCCCCGCGACCGCGCGCGCCUCCUCGUCCUCCCCCGCGCCUUUGUUUCCGUCUCCUUCUCCUUUCCCUCCUCUUUUGUGUCGGGCCAGACUCAGCCCCAGAAACCAGCCACCCUGCCGCGUCCGACUGCCAGGGAUCCCUCACGCCGCGAGGAAGAGACACUAGAGAGACACUCAGCUGCAGUGAGAAUACACAGGCAUCUUCAAGUACCAGAGAUGUCUCCAAGAGCACCAGCAACCCCAGCUAUCUGGAUCUGAAGUGGAUAUGCUCAGAGACAUCCUGGCCCACCCCAAAGAAGAUGCUGCUGCACUCAGAAGACGCCAGAGCUAGCCACCACCCACACUGCAAGUCUGGAAGCUCUGCAAGGACCCAGCAAGGCAGCCUGCUCAGCGAAGGCUUUGUCUCCUGUGGCAGGAAGAGCAACAUUAAGAACAAGAACCCCGGGCUGGACUACCCCUGAGAUUUAAUGACCAGAGCUGAGACCCCCAAGACCACAAUGACUAUGGAGGGCUGUCAUUACCCUGCCUGACCCUCUAAUGCCUCUCAGUUCAAGGAGGCCACUGAGUGAAACUGAAGGCUGGUUUUCCUUGGAAGCCAGCGGCCCAUCCACCUGCUCCACUUCCCUGCCUCUUGCAGCCUCCGCUCAAACACUGUCGUGGCUUGGCAGCACUACAAGUAUUUCAGGGGCUGCCAAGCUGCUCUCCUGUUUCCUCUUCCUUGGGGCUGAUUGCAUCCCAUGAUGUGCCCAGGUUUUGAGAUGCUCCUCGUGAAUGAAAAUAGGACUGUCUGGUUCCUCCAUCCAUAGCAAGGGAGCCUAGACAGAAAUAACUUCUGUGCAUUUCUCCAGCUACAUUUAGCUGAAAAUAUGUCUACGUGAGGUUAACUGUAUUUACCCAAUGCCAGAUACCUGAAAGAGUGUGAAAAAUUAAGGGAAAACUAGAAAAUACAGAAAUAUAUCAAGAAGAAAAAAAAUUUAAAAAUGACCCAAAAUCCCACCAACCAGAGACAGCUAUUAAUGAUUGUGGUAUAUUUAUUGUAAGUCUCUUUAUUUCUGUCUUCAUGCAAACACAUUUUUAAAGAAUGGACACUGGUAUUAUAUUGUUUAUACAACUCUAAAUGCUGCUUUUUCACUUAUUACAAUUAGGACUUUUUUCAUGUUAAUAAAUACUUCCUGAAAACAUAAA
rnacentral:lncRNA from 1 species